GUGAAUCAUCGAAUUUUUGAACGCAAAUUGCACUCUCUUCGGAGAGUAUGCCUGUUUGAGGGUCAGCCUAAAAAAAAUCGACAUAGUUGCUGUUUCGCGGUGACGUUCGUCGGAAAUUGGGUUAUCUUAAACCUUUUGGUUUAAUAGACGUAUAAUUUUCCUUUUUAUGCUAUGAACAAUUCUU
rnacentral:misc_RNA from 1 species